rnacentral:rRNA from 1 species
AUUGAACGCUGGCGGCAUGCCUUACACAUGCAAGGCGAACGGCAGCACGGGAGCAAUCCUGGUGGCGAGUGGCGAACGGGUGAGUAAUAUAUCGGAACGUGCCCAAUCGUGGGGGAUAACGCAGCGAAAGCUGUGCUAAUACCGCAUACGAUCUACGGAUGAAAGCGGGGGAUCGCAAGACCUCGCGCGAGUGGAGCGGCCGAUAUCAGAUUAGCUAGUUGGUGAGGUAAAAGCCCACCAAGGCGACGAUCUGUAGCUGGGCAGAGAGGACGGCCAGCCACACUGGAACUGAUACACGGUCUAGACUCCUACGAGAGGCAGCAGUAGGGAAUUUUGGACAAUGGGCGCAAGCCUGAUCCAGCAAUGCCGCGUGCAGGAUGAAGGCCUUCGGGUUGUAAACUGCUUUUGUACGGAGCGAAACGGCUCUCUUUAAUACAGGGGGCUAAUGACGGUACCGUAAGAAUAAGCACCGGCUAACUACGUGCCAGCCGCCGCAGUAAUAC